rnacentral:rRNA from 1 species
AUUGAACGCUGGCGGCAUGCCUUACACAUGCAAGUCGAACGGCAGCACGGGUGCUUGCACCUGGUGGCGAGUGGCGAACGGGUGAGUAAUACAUCGGAACGUACCUUAUCGUGGGGGAUAACGCAGCGAAAGCUGUGCUAAUACCGCAUACGCCCUGAGGGGGAAAGCGGGGGAUCGAAAGACCUCGCGCGAUUAGAGCGGCCGAUGCCUGAUUAGCUUGUUGGUGGGGUAAAAGCCCACCAAGGCGACGAUCAGUAGCUGGUCUGAGAGGACGAUCAGCCACACUGGGACUGAGACACGGCCCAGACUCCUACGGGAGGCAGCAGUGGGGAACUUUGGACAAUGGGGGCAACCCUGAUCCAGCGAUGCCGCGUGAGUGAAGAAGGCCUUCGGGUUGUAAAGCUCUUUUGUCAGGGAAGAAACACCGGCUCUAACACAGUCCGGGAAUGACGGUACCUGAAGAAUAAGCACCGGCUAACUACGUGCCAGCCGCCGCGGUAA